rnacentral:rRNA from 1 species
AACGAACGCUGGCGGCAUGCCUAACACAUGCAAGUCGAACGAGACCUUCGGGUCUAGUGGCGCACGGGUGCGUAACGCGUGGGAACCUGCCCUUAGGUUCGGAAUAACUCCCCGAAAGGGGUGCUAAUACCGGAUAAUGUCUUCGGACCAAAGAUUUAUCGCCCUUGGUUGGGCCCGCGUUGGAUUAGCUAGUUGGUAGGGUAAAAGCCUACCAAGGCGACGAUCCAUAGCUGGUCUGAGAGACUGGUCAGCCACACUGGGACUGAGACACGGCCCAGACUCCUACGGGAGGCAGCAGUGGGUAAUAUUGGACAAUCGGCGGAAGCCUGAUCCAGCAAUGCCGCGUGAGUGAUGAAGGCCUUAGGGUUGUAAAGCUCUUUUACCCGGGAUGAUAAUGACAGUACCGGGAGAAUAAGCUCCGGCUAACUCCGUG